CCACAGCCCCCAACCCAAGCCACCUGAGGGCCAGAAGGGCCCAGCUUGGCCUGGAGGGAAGGGGCGGAGAUGAGCUGUGCCGAAGACAUGGUGGCCAUCGUCUGGAAGGCCUUGUCCUUGGAGACUUGGUCCUGAGGAAUGGUUGAGAUUCAGCUUGAUGUAACGGGCAAUGAGUUCGUUCCGGCCUGGAGGAGUCAAAAUGGAAAAGAGUAAGACUCUCAGCAGAACUUCCUGCCAGAGAAGACAGGGCUGAGGGAUAAGGAUGAUCUUGCGACGGCCACAGGGAGGGUAGAUGGCCAGGGCCUCCUGAAAACUCUGCUCAAUGUCGGGGCUCCACACACCUUCUGCAUCAGGGCUGCCAUCACCUCCAACGCCCUCGCUGCCUCCGGUGCCCUCUUCGCUGCCUUCCUCGCUACCUGUCCAGCCCCCGCCAUCAUCCAGGGGGGCCCCAGUCCGGGGAUCCCCCAUCUGGGCCUGCAGAGAUGAAGAUCAGCAGCUACAUAUGGUAUUGCAAGAACAGGCAGGAGCACUGCCUGAGAGAGAAAGCCAGGCCUGAACCUGAACCCCUGGGUCUGAGGGAAAAAGAGGAACCUAAGCCUGGGACCUGGGAGGCUGUUCUUCCAGUGAGGAAUUUGCAUUGGGACUGCAUGGGGUUGAAGCCACCUGACCAACUCAGGUGCAGUGCCUGAGGCUGUGUUUGGAUUUAGGGAAGACCAGAGUCUCGUUAAUUGGCAGGAGUGAGACUCUCCUGUCCCACUAAGAAAGAACAGGUGCUCAGAGAAGGGCAGCAGCUGCUGGAGAAGCAGAGGCUAAGUCCAAAACCAACACCCAGAGAGAAGGGGACAGAGAGAUCCAGGGACAAAAAUCCAGAUCGACACAGCAAAAGGGGGCAUAGUCAGGGCCCAGACCAGAAAGUAACCACAGAAUCAGGCGGGGGCGGGGCUGGGUGCCCAUCAAACUUCAGGCCUUGGGACUCAGUCGCCCAGCCAUCUGGAGGACAGAACAAAGAGCCCAGGCAUCCCCUCCCCCAGUUCCCCACAACCCCUGCUGUGGGCGAGGCCAGCAUGCGAGCAGCGGCCCCGCCCCUCCCCCGGGCUCGGUUCCAGCCCAAGUUCCCAUCGACUUUCCGGAGGCCAAGAACAGGGAAAACUUUCCCCAUACAGUCAGAUACCUCCUCCCUAGAGGUUUUAUGUUAUCCAGAACUCCCAGGACCCCAAAGUUCUGAGUCCCAUCCCUCCAAUUUUGGACUCUUGACCUGGUAGAGAGAGGUUAGGUGAACAAAGAUCUCAAGCCCAGCCCAGUGUCGCGACGACGUUCAGGACCCCCACAGGCCGAAAUCCCAACCCAGCCCACCCCCAUGUGGCCAGACAAAGAGACAGACGAGCCAGGCAAGACAGACGGACAUCUCUAAUCUCCUGACCCAGUCACCAAUCCUCGGAAGACCAAUGGCCGAAGGUCCAAGGGGCCCUAUGGCUCUCCCUUGGCCACUCCCGCUCCUGCCCUGCUCCGUGUGGGGGCCACAUGCCCACAGGGCGGAUACUUGCACGAAGGAUGGCCCAGGGGUCGAACUAACAGAAGACCCGUGGUCGCUCCUUCGCUCCCACAUCCGCAGCCCCCGGCCACCCCGCGCGCUCCCCCAGCCGCAGACCAUCCCCAGGCCCCUAACUCCGGAGAAAGUUCCAGCUCCACACUUCGGCUGCGUCCCCCGCGCAAACUCCGGCCCCGGGGCAGAAAAGGGCUCCGGGCAGUUCCCACGCGAUCUCAGGAACACGCGCCUCACCUCAUCGCGCGGAACUUCCCACCCCAACUCACAAACCCCAAGCAGGAUCCCGAUUCCCGCCGGCGCCUUCCUACCUCCCGGCCUGGGCAGGGGAGCCGCGGGCGGGCGGGGCGAGACCCAGA
rnacentral:lncRNA from 1 species